rnacentral:lncRNA from 1 species
UCUGGAAGUGAAUGGACUCCAAUGGAAUGGAUUCAAAAGGAAUGGAAUCGUACGGAAUGGAAUCUAAUGGAAUGCAAUUAAAUGGAAAUGAAUCAAAUUGAAUAGCACGGAAUUGAAUUGAAUGGAAUGGAAUGCAAUGGAAUCUAAUGAAACGGAAAGGAAAGGAAUGGAAUGGAAUGGAAUGGGCUGGAAUGGAAAGGAAUCGAAACGAAUGGAAUGGAAUCGAACUGAAGAGACUGGAAUGGAAUGCACUGGAAUGGAAGGGAGUGUAAUGGAAGGUUCUCGAAAAUAAUGGAAUCGAAUGGAAUGGAAUUGAAUGGAACGGAAUAGAGUCGAAUGGAAUUGAAUGGAAUGGAAUG